CCUAGAGCACAGCUAUGUGAUUCAAGCGAUCAAAGAAUUGCCCUUUUUAUUUUUGGGAGGUGUGACCUUGUCUUUUGUUGUACUGCUAUAAUAAAAUGUCUUCGGGUAAUUUAUAAAGAACAAAAAUUUAUUUUUUAUAGUUCUGGAGACUGGGAAGUCCAAGAGAAAGUUGCUGGCAUUGGUGUCUGCCUAGGGCUACUCUCUACUUCCAAAAUGGUGCCCUGUUGCUGCAUCUUCAUGUGGAGGAAGGCGGAAAGGCAAGGCACUCUUCAAUCUCAAGCCCUUUGGUUAGGGUCUAUUGGAAUUUGCUGGAGUUCCACUACAGACCCUGUUGGCCUGGAUAUCACCAGUGAAGGCUGCAGAACAGCAAAAAUUCCUGCCUGUUCCUUCCUCUGGAAACUUCGUCUCAGAGGGGCACCUGCCAGAUGCCAGCUGGUGCUCUUCUGUUUAAGGUGUCUAUUGAUCCCUGCUGAGAGGUGUCUCCCAGUCAGGAGGCAUGGAGGUCAGAGACCCACUUGA
rnacentral:lncRNA from 1 species